GGUCCCUGCGCCGUCUCUCUUUGAGUUAAGGGGUCCUUGGCUUAAAAAAUGUUGAAGACCCCUGAUUUAGACUAUUACAUAGAAACUAGG